rnacentral:rRNA from 1 species
AAUGAACGCUGGCGGCAGGCCUAACACAUGCAAGUCGAACGAGUGGCGGACGGGUGAGUAAUGUCUGGGACACUGCCUGAUGGAGGGGGAUAACUACUGGAAACGGUAGCUAAUACCGCAUACCAUCGGAUGUGCCCAGCUGGGAUUAGCUAGUAGGUGGGGUAAAGGCUCACCUAGGCGACGAUCCCUAGCUGGUCUGAGAGGAUGACCAGACACACUGGAACUGAGACACGGUCCAGACUCCUACGGGAGGCAGCAGUGGGGAAUAUUGCACAAUGGGCGCAAGCCGGAUGCAGCCAGGCCGCGUGUAUGAAGGAGGCCUUCGGGUUGUAAAGUACUUUCAGCGGGGAGGCGUUACCCGCAGAAGAAGCACCGGCUAACUCCGUGCCAGCAGCCGCGGUAAUUC